GCCCAGGGAGCAUGGACCAGAGCCCAAUGCGAUGGACCAGCUUGUCAGUAUCACAAACCUCUUCCGGCUCUCCAGCGGCCCGUUGUGCCGGCGGAGGUCUCCGGCGAGCGAAUCCAUCGCCGCCGUAUUGCAAAGGCGGCGGCGGCGGACGAGGGGCUUCGAACUCCACUCCGGCUUCUUCUACCGUGGCCGCAGCCGCCAGGCCCAUCGCUCCCUCUCUGGCGACAAUUACUGUUGUCAUGAUGACGAAGAUGAUGAUACAAUACUACAAUACGUUGUACGUGCGUGCCACUAGCUUCCUCCUGUUAAGAUAUCCCAUCUAGCCAUCUCACCUAAAAGACCGAUCUAAUAGGAAGAGGAGAUUUGAUACAAUUAACACCUCCACCGGCAACCUAAAUAGACAGUUCAUGUUUUCAGCGACCAACAGGUUCUCCUGUGCCAAAUUGGUUUGCAUCUCUAGUGGUGAACCAAAACGCAAAGAUCGAGCCCAAGACUACUACUAAAUGCUCUCGUCCCUAUCCGUUGGGCUGGCAAACGACUUGGUAGUAGUACUAUACUUGUACAAGCUAGCUGGCUGCUUCUGGGCUGCUCCCAGCGGAUUUGUUUGGUAUCCUUUAAUUGGCUUGCACUUGGAAAAAGAUUGGACGCAGGAAAGACAAUAUGAUCAAGAAGGGACUGAUUUCUUUUUCUCUGAUAAUGCUUCUUGAUCACACAUUUAUUUAUUUCUUGACAAAAGUAAAUAAAUGAUGCAGAAGCAUUGCCGGAGAAAAAUCCAGUCGCGCGCUGUGGCUGCGACAUUCGCACAGAAACGAUUUGCUUGCUCAUCAUUUGUGGUCUUCUUGCGUUGGCCUGGAUGAAGCAGCAGCGCCGAUCCCGGGUAAGCGUUGUUCUCCUUUCUUCCUCGCUGUCUGUGGACGACGGCUAAGAACAACAUGUAAUAAGUCCUGGGUUCUGCUAGCACGCAGUCAUGGCAUGGCAUGUUUGUUGGCAACAAGACAAUAGGUGUUGUUGAAUCUUGGUGAUGGCCUCGUUCUUCUUUUCCUUUUUCAGAGGGGAAGCAAGAGUGAGUUUCUUAGGUGCAUGUGGGCUUCGGUAUUUGAUUUUCCUACUUUUUGAAAUGCUAUGGCCUGCUUAAUUAGGGCCCAUCGAAAAUUGGUUUCCAUGUGCCAAUUGCAUCCCUGCUGGUAUCGGCCGAAUUCAGUGAUAAAAAUCAAGAUCAAAGUCGACGGAGGAUGUCUCAUCGCCCACGGAGUAAUUAACGGUUAAGUUGCGAAAUACUAGACCGUAACACCUCGUAACUGUCUCAAUACAUAAAGUACUGCAAUGCAUUGUGAUCGUAGAUCGGUCCGAUGAUCAUAUGGCCGAGCAAGUGUGCUUGAUGAGAUAUAAUGGGCUCUUCCAUAUCAAACCAGACAACACCACCUGCUGUUGGGAGCAUCCUGACACCUCAAAUGCCUACGAGUACCUUUGAGGUACAUAGGAAAUGUUGACAAGAUCGAUAUGGCAUGGCGUUGAGAUGGCAAGGAGAGGAAACCACUAGUUCUAGUUCUGUGGCAACACUAUAGGAGCAAGUCUGGUAUACAAGGAGCUCAGGAUUGUACCACCUCCGUUGCUACGCAGUAAGGUAGGUGAGUCUUGACUUUGUCGAAACAUAGGAAAUUAAGGUGCGUGUGUUGUUUGUCCCAUGCAUGUUUAUGUGGGUUUAAUACAAACAAAAACUUGUUCACCCAA